CCUACGGGGGACAGCAGUGAGGAAUAUUGGUCAAUGGGCGCGAGCCUGAACCAGCGACGCCGCGUGAGUGAAGAAGUAUUUCGGUAUGUAAAGCUCUAUCAGCAGGGAAGAAAAUGACGGUACCUGACUAAGAAGCCCCGGCUAACACCUGCCAACCACCGCCGGAAUACGUAGGGGGCCAGCGUUACUCGGAUUUACUGGGUGUAAAGGGAGCGUAGACGGUGCAGCAAGUCUGAUGUGAAAGGGCGGGGCCCAACCCCGGGACUGCAUUGGAAACCGUUGAACUGGAGUAUAGGAGAGGUAAGCGGAAUUCCUAGUGUAGCGGUGAAAUGCGUAGAUAUUAGGAGGAACACCAGUGGCGAAGGCGGCUUACUGGACUGUAACUGACGUUGAGGCUCGAAAGCGUGGGGAGCAAACAGGAUUAGAUACCCCUGUAGUC
rnacentral:rRNA from 1 species